AUUGAACGCUGGCGGCAGGCCUAACACAUGCAAGUCGAACGAGUGGCGGACGGGUGAGUAAUGUCUGGGAAACUGCCUGAUGGAGGGGGAUAACUACUGGAAACGGUAGCUAAUACCGCAUACCAUCGGAUGUGCCCAAAUGGGAUUAGCUGGUAGGUGGGGUAACGGCUAACCUAGGCGACGAUCCCUAGCUGGUCUGAGAGGAUGACCAGCCACACUGGAACGGAGACACGGGCCAGACUCCGACGGGAGGCAGCAGUGGGGAAUAUUGCACAAUGGGCGAAAGCCUGAUGCAGCCAUGCCGCGUGUAUGAAGAAGGCCUUCGGGUUGUAAAGUACUUUCAGCGGGGAGGCGUUACCCGCAGAAGAAGCACCGGCUAACUCCGUGCCAGCCGCCGCGGUAAUUC
rnacentral:rRNA from 1 species